rnacentral:rRNA from 1 species
GAUGAACGCUGGCGGCGUGCCUAAUACAUGCAAGUCGAGCGAACGGACGAGAAGCUUGCUUCUCUGAUGUUAGCGGCGGACGGGUGAGUAACACGUGGAUAACCUACCUAUAAGACUGGGAUAACUUCGGAAAACCGGAGCUAAUACCGGAUAAUAUUUUGAACCGCAUGGUUCAAAAGUGAAAGACGGUCUUGCUGUCACUUAUAGAUGGAUCCGCGCUGCAUUAGCUAGUUGGUAAGGUAACGGCUUACCAAGGCAACGAUGCAUAGCCGACCUGAGAGGGGGAUCAGCAACACUGGAACUGAGACACGGACAAGACUCCUAAGGGAGGCAGCAGUAGGGAAUAUUCGGAAAUGGGCGAAAGCAUGACGGAGGAACGCCGCGUGAGUGAUGAAGGUCUUCGGAUCGUAAAACUCUGUUAUUAGGGAAGAACAUAUGUGUAAGUAACUGUGCACAUCUUGACGGUAACUAAUCAGAAAGCCACGGCUAACUACGUG